rnacentral:rRNA from 1 species
GAAUUUAGUUGAGGUGGGCGGAAUACGUUAUGUAGCGGUGAAAUGCAUAGAUAUAACGUAGAACACCGAUUGCGAAGGCAGCUCACUAAGCUAACAUUGACGCUGAUGGACGAAAGCGUGGGGAGCGAACAGGAUUAGAUACCCUGGUAGUCCACGCCGUAAACGAUGAUUACUCGUUGUGCACGAUACACUGUGCGUGACUGAGCGAAAGCAUUAAGUAAUCCACCUGGGGAGUACGUUCGCAAGAAUGAAACUCAAAGGAAUUGACGGGGGCCCGCACAAGCGGAGGAACAUGUGGUUUAAUUCGAUGAUACGCGAGGAACCUUACCUGGACUUAAAUGUAGAUUGACCGGUUUAGAAAUAGAUCUUCCCUUCGGGGCAAUUUACAAGGUGCUGCAUGGUUGUCGUCAGCUCGUGCCGUGAGGUGUCGGGUUAAGUCCCAUAACGAGCGCAACCCCUAUCGUUAGUUGCUAGCAGGUAAUGCUGAGGACUCUAGCGAGACUGCCACCGUAAGGUGAGAGGAAGGUGGGGAUGACGUCAAAUCAGCACGGCCCUUACGUCCAGGGCUACACACGUGUUACAAUGGCCAGUACAAAGGGCAGCUACCUGGUGACAGGAUGCUAAUCUCUAAAGCUGGUCUCAGUUCGGAUCGGAGUCUGCAACUCGACUCCGUGAAGUUGGAUUCGCUAGUAAUCGUAGAUCAGCAAUGCUACGGUGAAUACGUUCCCGGGCCUUGUACACACCGCCCGUCAAGCCAUGGAAGCCGAGGGGACCUGAAGUUCGUAACCGCAAGGAGCGACCUAGGGUAAAAUUGGUAACUAGGGCUAA